rnacentral:rRNA from 1 species
CCUCCAAGGCUAAAUACUCCUGACUGACCGAUAGUGAACCAGUACCGUGAGGGAAAGGCGAAAAGAACCCCGGCGAGGGGAGUGAAAAAGAACCUGAAACCGUGUACGUACAAGCAGUGGGAGCACGCUUAGGCGUGUGACUGCGUACCUUUUGUAUAAUGGGUCAGCGACUUAUAUUCUGUAGCAAGGUUAACCGAAUAGGGGAGCCGAAGGGAAACCGAGUCUUAACUGGGCGUUAAGUUGCAGGGUAUAGACCCGAAACCCGGUGAUCUAGCCAUGGGCAGGUUGAAGGUUGGGUAACACUAACUGGAGGACCGAACCGACUAAUGUUGAAAAAUUAGCGGAUGACUUGUGGCUGGGGGUGAAAGGCCAAUCAAACCGGGAGAUAGCUGGUUCUCCCCGAAAGCUAUUUAGGUAGCGCCUCGUGAAUUCAUCUCCGGGGGUAGAGCACUGUUUCGGCAAGGGGGUCAUCCCGACUUACCAACCCGAUGCAAACUGCGAAUACCGGAGAAUGUUAUCACGGGAGACACACGGCGGGUGCUAACGUCCGUCGUGAAGAGGGAAACAACCCAGACCGCCAGCUAAGGUCCCAAAGUCAUGGUUAAGUGGGAAACGAUGUGGGAAGGCCCAGACAGCCAGGAUGUUGGCUUAGAAGCAGCCAUCAUUUAAAGAAAGCGUAAUAGCUCACUGGUCGAGUCGGCCUGCGCGGAAGAUGUAACGGGGCUAAACCAUGCACCGAAGCUGCGGCAGCGACGCUUAUGCGUUGUUGGGUAGGGGAGCGUUCUGUAAGCCUG